rnacentral:tRNA from 3 species
GCGGGUGUAGUUUAGUGGCAAAACUCCAGCUUCCCAAGCUGGCUAUGAGGGUUCGAUUCCCUUCAUCCGCUCCA